CCUAGAUGGCUUUGGCUUCAAAACUGGCAUAGACAAGAAAAGCAGGACAGACUGGAAAAUAGAAGUGCUCACUUCACUUGCUUCUCUUAGUGCUCUAAUCACUGCUGAGAUAUCAUGAUGCACAUCUAAGGGUGUUGAUCCUUCAAUCUCAACGUUGAUUUUCUUUAGAGCUGCAACUGACUUUUUUGCAUCCUUGUUCAUCUUCUUUAUGAAUGAAGUGUAUCUGGUGAUGGUGGCUUCAGUACUUGAAUCUCCCUUUCUCCUCCUCAGGGAGGAUUGCAGAUCUCUCAAUUGUUCCUUCAACUGAGAGACACUAUCCCUUGCUAGACCACAAAUAUCCAGAAGCCUCACCGAUUUCUCCAAUAAGCCAUCAACCCACUUCUUGUUUUGAUUUUGAGAGAGGGCUUGAAGGGUUUGUGGCAAGUUUAGAAGACCAUCCAUGCACUUGUAAAGCUGUUCUAAUCCAAGAAGACCACUGCUGAUUGUAGCUGCUUCUGGAGUGGCUGAGACUUGUAAUGUUUUGAGCUUUGUCAGCUCUUCUUCUACUUUCUGGAUGCUUGGAUGUGAUCUGCUGGGAAAGCUAAUAGAUCGGAGGUGAUUGGUUUUUGCCAUUGUUGUAUUUUCUAUCUUUGUAACAGGAAAGUAAACUCAAGCUUGUGCUGGCUAGAAUAAGCUCUAGUCUUGGUUAUAUAUUGGCAGAUAGGAAGGCUUGGAUCAAUUGAUGCUGAUCUCCCUUCGACUGCAUUAACAAAAAGGGAGGAUUGCAGAUCUCUCAAUUGUUCCUUCAACUGAGAGACACUAUCUCUUGCUAGACUACAAAUGUCCAGAAGCCUCACCGAUUUCUCCAACAAGCCAUCAACCCACUUCUUGUUUUGAUUUUGGGAGAGGGCUUGGAGGGUUUGUGGCAAGUUAAGAAGAUCAUCCAUGCACUUGUAAAGCUGUUCUAAUCCAAGAAGGCCACUGCUAAUUGUAGCUGCUUCUGGAGUAGCUGAUAUUUGUAAUGUUUUGAGCUUGGUCAGCUCUUCUUCCACUUUUUGAAUGCUUGGAUGUGAUCUGCUGGGAAAGCUAAUAGAUCGGAUGUGGUUGGAUUUAGCCAUUGUUGUAUUUUCUCUCUUUGUAACAGGAAAGUAAACUCAAGCUUGUGUUGGCUAGAAUAAGCCCUAGGCUUGGUUAUAUAUUGGCAGAUAGGAAGGCUUGGAUCAAUUGUUGCUGAUCUCCCUUUGACUGCAUUAACAAAAAGGUUUGCUUCCUCCUGCCUCCCAACCAUUGUGCUAUUACUGUCUUCUACAUCUUUUUAAAAUUAUUUCAAGAUGCAUACACUGCGGAUCAGAUUCCAUUUUUUCUCAUUAGUUGAGAAACAUAUGGCUUAUUCCUUCUGUUUCAGCUGCAAGUACCUUAUGCGUCAGCAAGAAAACAGAGAACGUAUUAAAACCCUUCAAGAUGAAGAUGGAAUAUAAAACCUCUUAAUCAUUAAUCGAUACAAGUAGGUUGUGAUUAAUUAAUGGUAGUACAUGCAUGGAUUGUUGGCUGUUUUCCCUACUAAAUUAUGCACUAUUGGCUAUAGGAGACAUGGCUGACAUUAGCCUGGUUGUAAGAAUCUGAUCACCCUGUGGUUUCAGCAUGCAAAUUUCUUUAAUUUUUGCAAAUGGGUUCUGCAUUUUAGUUUUACCAACAAGAUUCAUAUUACAUUUUCCUAUUUCUUUAAUCCUCAGAGUAACAGAAUGAUUAGUAGGAGUUUGCUGUAUUGCUAUCAUUAUAUCAACAUUGAGUUGGCAAAGAUCUGUUUCCUCCUGCCUGCCAGGCAUCAGAAUUCAGAAGGUUGAUGACUAAAAGCAACUUUGACCCAUCCUUAACAUAACCAAGACA